CUUGAGGAAAUUAGAGUGUUUUGAGCAGGCGAUUGCCUUGAAGACAUGAGCAUGAAUAAUUUUAAGAUAGGCCCUCAGUUCUAUUCCGUUGGUUUCUAGAUCUGAGGUAAUGGUCGAUAGGGAUAGUUGGGGGCAUUCGUAUUUAACUGUCAGAGGUGAAAUUCUUGGAUUUGUUUCUGGCAGACAAAUUCUUGGAUUUGAUAGAGACGGACUAAGA
rnacentral:ncRNA from 1 species